AUCUCCAAGGAGCGUUGCAGCUCGCCGCCCAUCAAGGUUGCGAGUCAGGCUUGGAGUUCAAUCUGGGGCAUGCCCCAUUCUUAUUGCAAACCACGCUCACCUGCG
rnacentral:ncRNA from 2 species